rnacentral:rRNA from 1 species
CAAUAGCGUAUAUUUAAGUUGUUGCAGUUAAAAAGCUCGUAGUUGGAUUUCGGAUGGGAUUUGCCGGUCCGUCGUUACGAUGUGCACUGGCCAGUCCUAUCUUGUUGUCGGGGACUAGCUCCUUGGAUUCACUUCCUGGGACUAGGAGCUGACGAGGUUACUUUGAGUAAAUUAGAGUGUUCAAAGCAAGCCUACGCUCUGAAUACAUUAGCAUGGAAUAACACGAUAGGACUCUGGCUUAUCUUGUUGGUCUGUGAGACCAGAGUAAUGAUUAAGAGGGACAGUCGGGGACAUUCGUAUUUCAUUGUCAGAGGUGAAAUUCUUGGAUUUAUGAGAGACGAACUUCUGCGAAAGCAUUCGUCAAGGAUGUUUUCAUUAA